rnacentral:misc_RNA from 1 species
AACAUCGCGCACCUGCGGGAACCUGCGGAGGGAUCAUUAUUGAAUAAACUUGGUCAGGUUGUUGCUGGCCCUUCGGGGCAUGUGCACGCUCGACUCUUGUUUUCAUCUCCCAUGUGCACCUUCUGUAGACGUGGAGUUUGGUUUUGUCAUCUUGGCAAAUUUGUGGGAUUGCCGCCGCUUUCGGUGAAGCCGGCUCUCCCGCCAUAUUCCAGUCUACGUUUAUUUCAUAUACCCCUGAAA